CCUACGGGAGGCAGCAGUGAGGAAUAUUGGUCAAUGGGCUUACGCCUGAACCCGCCAAGUCGCGUGAGGGAAGACUGCCCUAUGGGUUGUAAACCUCUUUUGUCAGGGAGCAACGCCGGCUACGUGUAGCCGGUCUGAGAGUACCUGAAGAAAAAGCAUCGGCUACCUCCGUGCCAGCAGCCGCGGUAAUACGGAGGAUGCGAGCGUUAUCCGGAUUUAUUGGGUUUAAAGGGUGCGUAGGCGGAAUGCCAAGUCAGCGGUAAAAUCGCGGGGCUCAACCUCGCUCCGCCGUUGAAACUGGCGUUCUUGAGUGGGCGAGAAGUAUGCGGAAUGAGUGGUGUAGCGGUGAAAUGCAUAGAUAUCACGCAGAACUCCGAUUGCGAAGGCAGCAUACCGGCGCCCAACUGACGCUGAAGCACGAAAGCGUGGGUAUCGAACAGGAUUAGAUACCCGUGUAGUC
rnacentral:rRNA from 1 species